GCUGGCGGCGUGCCUAACACAUGCAAGUCGAGCGGAGACAGAUUUGAGCUUGCUUGAAACUGUUUUAGCGGCGGACGGGUGAGUAACGCGUGAGCAACCUUUCUCUCAGUGGGGAAUAACACGAGGGAAACUUGUACUAAUACCGCAUGAGACCACAUUGUCGCAUGGCAAAGGGGUCAAAGAUUAAUCGCUGAGAGGUGGGCUCGCGUCUGAUUAGAUAGUUGGCGGUGUAAUGGACCACCAAGGCGACGAUCAGUAGCUGGUUUGAGAGGAUGAUCAGCCACAAUGGGACUGAGACACGGCCCAUACUCCUACGGGAGGCAGCAGUAGGGAAUUUUGCGCAAUGGGCGAAAGCCUGACGCAGCAACGCCGCGUGAUUGAUGAAGCCCGUUCGGGGUGUAAAGAUCUGUCAGUGGGGACGAAACUUGACGGUACCCACAGAGGAAGCACCGGCUAACUCCGUG
rnacentral:rRNA from 1 species